AAUGAACGUUGGCGGCGUGGAUUAGGCAUGCAAGUCGCGCGAGAAGUCAUUUAGCUUGCUAAAAGACGGACAGCGGCGGAAGGGAGAGUAACGCGUGGUUAUGUACCCUCGAGACCGGGAUAGUGUCGGGAAACUGGCAGUAAUACCGGAUAACAUCUUCGGAUCAAAUGGUGUGAUUCCGCUCGAGGAUCGGACCGCGUACUAUUAGCUAGUUGGAGGGGUAAUGGCCCACCAAGGCUUAGAUGGUUACCGGGGGUGGGAGCAUGGCCCGGCUCACUGGGACUGAGACACUGCCCAGACAUCUACGGAUGGCUGCAGUCGAGAAUCUUCGGCAAUGGACGAAAGUCUGACCGAGCGACGCCGCGUGCGGGAUGAAGGCCUUCGGGUUGUAAACCGCUGUCAGUUAGGAGGAAAUCCAUGAGGGUUCUCUCUCAUGGUUGACCGACUUUCAGAGGAAGGACGGGCUAAGUUCGUGCCAGCCGCCGCUGUAA
rnacentral:rRNA from 1 species